UACGGAGGGGGCAAGCGUUGUUCGGAUUUACUGGGCGUAAAGGGCGCGUAGGCGGCUUUGUAAGUUACUUGUGAAAUCUCCGGGCUUAACUCGGAACGGCCAAGUAAUACUGCAGAGCUAGAGUGCAGAAGGGGCAACUGGAAUUCUUGGUGUAGCGGUGAAAUGCGUAGAUAUCAAUAGGAACACCUGAGGCGAAGGCGGGUUGCUGGGCUGACACUGACGCUGAGGCGCGAAAGCUAGGGGAGCAAACAGG
rnacentral:rRNA from 1 species